CGGGCGGAGGUCGGGGCGAGGCUGCUGCGGUCCCGGCCGGGGGCGGUGCCGGGCGGGCAGGGUAGGCCGCUCUGUGCAGCGCAGUUGCCGGGGCGGCUCCGGUGGCUCUAGGGGCUGUGCCCCUUGUGCUGUCCCGGGAGAGGGGUCCGUGCGGGGCUGUGCCAACCGCGGCGCUUGGCCAUGGGACCAAAUAAGGGCCGGGGGUUAAAGAGCAGCUCUGCCCUUGGUGGGGGAGGCCGUCAGAAGGGAGCAGGCUGGGUCAUGCCCUUAUCACAUGCCAGGUGACAGGUUGCGUUUGCUGGUUUGAGGCUUUUUUUCAGGGUUGUAGCUUCUGUCUGAUGUCUGAUAAUUGCACUAAUGGUGUUUGACUGUCGUAGACGUGGGGCUUAGUGUGACCAGCAGGAGGAGCUUUGCUUCCUCCUAGAGGCAGCUACCCUCAGUAUGUCUGGAAAAGGGUAGAAUUAGAUUAGAUAUAAAGAAGACAUUUUUUAUUUCAAGGAUGGUGAUGCAUAGGAGGCUGCCUGGAGAACUUGUGGCUGCCUCAUCCCAAAGCCAGGCUGGAUGGGGCUCUGAGCAACCUGGUCUAGUGGAAGGUGCCCCUGCCUAUGGCAGGGGUGUUGCAACUCGGUGGUCUUUAGAGUCCCUUCUAACCCAGACCUAUGACCCUGUGUCCAUAGAGGCGUAAAUCAGCCUUGAAAAAGCUGAGAGAAUGGAUGAGAUGAGACAUCUCAGCAGUUGAGCUAACUUGCUUGCCCAUUAUCUUACCUGUGCUUGCUGUCUAGUGUUGGCGUGGCUUAGCCAGCUGACUAGGUUCUGUCUUAGUUUCAACAUACCUUCUGGCUGGCAUCUAGGAGGUAGGCUAGAAUUUUGACCAGCAGGUUUUAGACUUAAUUGUACUGAACGUCAUCCCUGCUUUUGCUAGGCUUUUGUGUUGGGGAAUGGGAAAUAAUCGGCUCACCAAAAGAGAGAGUAGUCAAAACUCUGUUAGGCUUAAGGGGACCAGAGUUCCCUGAAACGAUGUGUAGAAGACCUUUGAUGUAAACUGGACAGGAGGAUGCUCAAGAUUAGGUGAACUGUGAGUGAAAUAAAGGGGCAGUGGCAUGAUGACUUCACAGUUACAACAGUUGUCCACAGUAGGUUUUAGCCCUGUGCUUAUAUCUAUGCAGCUGAUACCUGGUACUGAUGGUAAGUAUUGCAGUGGAAUAAUCUAGGGUAAGCUCAAUUGUCUUUUCUAUAACUGGCAGCAAACACGUAUAUGAAAUCUGCAUCCAGGAUGAUCUGCUGGCCUAAUGACAGUAUGUUUUGUUCCUUAAACUGGUUUAGAAACAAUUGCUUUUACCUACAGUGGUUUUCCUCUCUCCCUUCCCAUCUCACUGGAGUCAGUGCUGCUGCUCUGAGGAGGUUGCAGUGCACCUCACUUUGCAGGAAGUUUUACUUCAUUGUUUUUACUGUUGUUUAUACCUUGUUUCUUUAUCUCUAGAUUCCCUGAUGUCUCAGCAAAGAGUUGCUAUAGCGUAUCAAAAUGUAGGAAAAAGGAAAUUACUUCAGAAACUACCCAAGUGAAUGCCUGAUGAAAGAGACAAGUAAAACAGUUUUCUCUGUGUGUGUAGUUCACUUCAAUCAGCUUGGUGCUGUCUGAUACUUGUCAGUGUAUGGAUUUUACUCAUUGUUGACAAGUUGUUAGAAAUGUUAAUCAUGAAACCUAUUUUCUAUGUGUCAAACUCGGAUACUCUGUUCACCUGAAAGUGCUAAUGCACAAGUCUCUCCUGACCCAACAGAUCUUCGUUGCAAGACCCACAAGAAGCUUACAGUCCUAUUGCAGAAAUAAGCGUUUUGUUGGCUUUUCAUAUGAAAAUAUACAAGGUGAUGAUAGAAUUGAAAGCCUGCCUUUGGCUUUUCCUAAACACGUGGGUGUGCUCUACUUUAAUGCUGUUAAUGGAAACUUACUCUGGUGUGUGUCUGGUCCUCAGCCUAUGAAGCUGAUAUGUUUGUCUGUACUUGCACUACUAUGCUGACAUCCUACACUGCAAAAGCUAUGGAUUUUCUUUGCUAGUGAUCACUUUGAAGUGAUUUUUAUCACUGUGGACUCAGGUAAGCAGCCACCCAGUUUCCUGAAGACCCGGAGAAAGAGUUGAAAGAUCCUGCAGGAGGUGUGAGGAAGAUGCGGAUAAGUAGAAAUGUGUGAUGACUUAAAGAAGAAAUUGCUUAAUCAAAGUUUAGGUUAAUAUGUAGAAACUUGUCUUUGUGUCACAGCUUUCAUUCUGACAAGUUUUCUCUUAAUGAAAACAUCAAGGGUUUGGAUGCUCUAAAUUGAGCAGUCACUGGGUACUGUACUAAGCCAGCUGUGCAGUCUGCAUGAGAUAGAUUUCGAGAUGAAGUGUACAAACAGAUUAUAAUGUAAUUUUUAUAAGUUGUCUGGUGUUAUAAUAUCACACUGUCAACAUCCAUGGCAGCGCAGCACAGAAAACUGGCAGCGUCUUGGGGUUGUCUUGGUUCUUGCAAACUCACUGUCAGACCUAAUCUAAUUCCUAGUAUGCACAUUAGCAUUAGUGGAAUGUAGUUUGUAAGGAUGAUUGAUACCAUCUAUGCCACUCUUAGCAUGUGAGUUUUGUUUUAAAAUCCAAUUUUCUUAAGUAUGCCAGCUAUAAAACUUGGUUGUCUACAGUCCCAGCUGCUUAUUUCAAAGCCUGUGGUGGAAGGGUGUUAACUCUUUACUGCUCAGAUGAUGGAGGAUGAAGAAGCUGCAAUGAAAGUUGGUUGGUUGGUUGCAGUUGUCUCCCAUGGAGCUAUUUCACAAAAAUAGCUGGAUCUGCAAGUUGAAAAGUGAGAGGGUGAAUUUAACUUGGUAGAAUAGGUAAGUACUUCUAUAUCGUGUUACUGUUUCCAAGUAUCUUAAUCAUAGCACAGAAUACAUUGUGUUGUCUUUGUUCUUUGACAGGGAGAGCUUUGAAAACCAGGAAAGACUGGAAGGCUUCUAUGUCUUUUUUAAGUGUUCUCAAUAAAAUUGUGGGGAGGAAGUAUCUGGAAGAGCCUAGUAUUCCCACAUAGCAAAAGGAGUUGGUAAAGCUGCUCUAGAAAUAAUUCUAGUGACUAAUUAUGAAGUGUUACCUUUUUGUUUUGUUUUUUUUUUGUCUUUCAGCAGAAGAAGAGUGCUCUAAGAGCAGUCAAGAACCUUUUCAGUUAGUGUGAACAUGUUCUUCAACCAAGACAUGGCAGCAGUUCAGUAGCAGUUACACAACAGGAAAGGGUGUGCAAGCUACUGCAGGUCCCUGGGUUCAUAAGAUCUGGUAUCUGAAAGAACUCGCUAGAGAGAAGAAUCUUGAGUUGAAAAGAGAGCUAAUACUGAAACAGGAAAUUGAUUUCAUUGUAGAUACUGGAGAUGAUCAUCACAACGUGCAGGACUUUAAAGUGUUAGGACACUGUGAAAAACUGUAGGUAGUUUGAGUACAAGAGACUCCAGGACUCCAGUUGUGGGAAGUUCCCUUUUGGGAAGGCACACUAGCAAUGGGGAAAACUUGCUAAACACAAGGAGACUCAAAAUGUUCUAUGGCUGUUCCUUAGCUGCACAUGAAUAUAUCUCUUAAGGUGGGAUGGUGUGACAUGACCACUGAAGACUAUAGGGCUGUAAGCAGACCACAUUUCUCUUAAGAGCAUAUGUGCCACUGCCCAGUUCAGAAGCACCCCAACAGCUUCAAGUUUUGUCACAUAAUAGUAUUUCCUGGAACAAUAGCAUUUCUUGGUCCGCCUCCUGCAAAGCCAGCUGGCUGAUGGCAGCACUGCAGUGAAGAUGAGCCUUCCCCACCCACAAGUUUUUGAAGACUUGCACAGAAAAUGACUCAGACAGGCUCCAGAGCUGAGCAUAAAUCCUUUAGCUGCCACUGUUGUAGUUUUAAUAUACACGAUGGGUGCCCUGAGUGCUUCCAUGUGGAACAAGAAACACUCGGGCUGCGUGUUUAGAUGUGCUUUGUGUGUGCACUGCCCUCUGCAGCACAAAGCAUGAUCAAGCCCUGGUAUUGCAUAAAGCAGGUGAGGGUAUCGUGCUAAAGUUGUGCUUGGAUUGGACCUCACUCAGUUGCCACUAAUCAUGGAAAGGUCUAUUUUUGUUGUGUAGUGGUAAACCUGAGUUGGUAACCGAUACUGCUCAGCUGAUGUGUCUGUGCCAGGUGAGCAGUCCGUGACCUGACAAAUCAUUGACCGUGGUACUAGCUCUUACUCCUUUCAAAAUAAUAAAAAGGGGAUGGAGGGAAGAGGCAGCAGAGGAUUUUUUAAGGGUCACAUAAAUUCUACUGAAAUUAAAAGCUCACUAAAAAUACCUUAGUGGAAACAAUACAUUUUAGGAAAUGAUGACUCCUAUGACAAGAGCAAUGUGAGCCUUUAGUUAUGGCAAGUUUCCAGUGCUGUUCCUUGUCCCUAUUUUUGUGAGGGUGUGGGUGAAAAGUGUUACACACAGGGGGAGUGAUAGCCAUAACCAGAGGUUAAAAUUUAAUUUUAGCAACUAUAGUUUUAUGUCAAAUGAUGCACCAUUAUUUAUUUUCUUUAAAAGUCCUUCAAAAGUCCUUCAACUAAAUUGUUAGGCUGGAGUCUCUGAUUAUGCAUGCAAGUGUUCUCAGGUUCUCCAGCUAUUUGGAUGCAGUGGUGCAACAUUUUAUUUUGAUUCCUGUAUUAUUCAGCUUAAAACACUAGCUUGGGCAGGUGAAUACCUAUGCAACGGUAUUGCAGUCAGAGCACUCCUUAAUGUACACAAACCAUUUCCUUUGGGUAAGUGAAAAAGCACACAACUCCUGGGACAGCAGCAUUUGAUAGUGGCUAUACCGGAAUUCCCUAGGUUUGUACUCUUCUUUGGUCUUUUUACCCAAACUUUUAGCUUUUCAGUACAUUGUCACUAGAUGGCCACCUCAUUAUUUCUGGGGGGGUGUGGGGGGUUUGCCAUUUCUUUUGCAAGUGCCUCUUCCUGGAAAACUGGCAACCACAGUGAGUAUCACAGUUCCUGGCCAAGUUUCUGCUCACAUGGUUUCACUUGCUCCAUGUUGUUAUUUACAUGCAGUGUCCUAAGCAUAUAAUUUAGUGGAGUGCUAGUGAGUAGCUAACGUUAGUGUCUGGGCUGCAGUCCGUGUAGGUUAGGUUUGCACAAGCCUCCUGCUUCAUUAAUUCAAUGGCUGCUCUUUUAGCCUUUGAUUUCCUAGUGCACAGUUUUAUGGAAAAAAAAAGUCUUGCUCUGCUCUUGCAGCAGGUUAGGGACUGGCACACUAGGGUUGGUCACUUUACCUGCUGAGUUGCGUGACCCAGAACUGCUGCUGUGCCUUGUUUUGCAUGCACAAGACCUAGGGCUUGCAAGGUGAGAAGGAUACGUUCUUUGUCUUUAAUAGGUCUGAUGUCCUGCAGGACAGGAGAGGUUUUUCUAAAGGAGCAUAGAGGUGUGAAGCUGGUGACUUACUCUGCCUUGCUCAAGGCAGUCAUACCGUCAGGUUCUGGUUUCAUGCGUAUCAGAGCCCUUUUUUUUUCCAGUGGAGCCUCUUUGGUCAUGCAUUCCUAGGAGGUGUAUUACUUGAGCUCCCUGCUUUGAGCUCUUGAACAGUCUGGUUGCACGAUGCAGAGGCUGUGAUGGUACUGCUAGUUUAAGGAGUUGGUGUUACCAUCUGCUGCUUGCCUUCCCGUGCUGCAGUACACUGUUCCCUUUUGUGCCAGUGCAACUACCUGGAGUGGCAUAGCAAGUUACUGAGUUGUUGACACAGUCCCUGUGUGUGCUUUUCUGUGGGUCAUGGUAGAAGUGGAGGAGGUUUGCAGUACUGCAGCUUUAUAAAGCCUGAAUCAGGUUUGUGAGCUGGUUUAGAGCAUUUGCAACACAGCACAAAAACCAGGUGGCCAAAUGUAUGACGAAGCCAGAAGUCCUUGGGCUUGUUGUUGAAGCCUCUUUUCAUUAAAUUGUGCAUUUAAGGAUGCACUUCAGUUUUGGGGGGAGAAGCAGAAGGAUUUCCCUUGUACACAUGGGUGCUUUUGUUAACCGUUUUUCUGUGUUAGGUCUUGUGACGCAGCCUUUUUGUGGUUUUGCUGCAUGUAACCUGACCAGGCAGCGGCAGCUCAAGAAACCCUGUCGUCUGUAAGCAGCACUAGUUCAUUGUAGUCCAGACAAAUCUCAGCGUGAACAGAGAGCUGGAGUAAGACUUGGAACAGUUUUAAGUUCGGGUUUGUUUUUUUUCUUACUGAGAGUACCAAUAUAUUUUCCUAUGAUGGAACUAAUUCUUACAAUUGGGGAGUUAUACAUUACCCCUGCACACAUAGCCAAAUAUAAUUUUAUAUUUAAUGGCAGAGUAGGUCUGCAAAAGAAUUAGGUAUUAAAAUGUUCCACGUAUAAUAGAUGAAAAGCUAAUCCCAGUUUCCUCCUGCUACCAAUGAAGUUGGCUGCUCUGCCAUGAACUCUUACUAUGCAAAUAUGAUUUCCUGCCUCCGUUUUGAUAAUGGUGAAUGUUGCUCUCUGGUGAGGACAACGUGGUGGCAGCUGUUUCAGAGUAAUGAGCAGUGGCUUCACUACAUGCUCUGCUUUAGCGGAUGUCAGCUAAAAUAGCAAUUGCAUCUCCCAAGAGUUAGAUUGUUGCUGUUCCUAACCUUUGUAGAGAAACAUGCAAAGUACGGGCAGGCGCAGUCCUCAGGUGAAUUGGCAGAGGGUGUUGUGCAGCCAAGUGGUUACUGUGUCUCAGCAGGGAUGAAUGGCAGGGAUGAGCUUUACUAGCUCAGAUCAGUGAGGUCUAUUUGGCCUCUUGCAAACUCCUGCCCACUGAAAGCUACUUUGACCUCCAGGGUCAAAGGGUAGAUUGUGACUGCAGCAACUUCUGUCCCAGUGCUAUGUCCUGGGAAAAAAGGAGGUGAGGAAAUGGACUUUUAGUAGGCCCAAUGAAAAUAAAUGGAUUUUCUUUUCAUUAUAAAUAAUAUAUUUAUACAGUAAUUUAUAAGUACAUUUAUAGCGUAAAUAUAUUUAUAAAUACAUAUCUGGAAAUACAUGCAUAUAUGCAUAUAAAAGGUAUAUAUUUAAAUACAUUUGUAUACAUUAUUGUAUAAUCAUAAUCUAACACUUCAUAAAAUAUAAAUUAGUUGGGAGAAUCUUGGAAAAGUAGAGUAGCUUUGUCUUGCUGACAGACUUGUGGGAUAGAGAAGCCGUUCCCUCUUGAGAACAAAUCAGACAUGAAUGUCUGGUCCCCAACAAAUACAGUUUGUGUUAAUUAUUUUGUUAAAAUGUCCAAUGACAUCUGUCUUUUAAGCUCUCAUUCUUGAGAAGGUUGUUUGAUUGUGGAUUAACCUUGUCAUGAGUCAAUACUCAUGAGUAUUGAGGCAUGUGAUAUGCUUGGCCAUGGAACUAGGUAUGUGUGAGGUCUCUCACAAGUUUCUGUCAACACUCUGAGUGUUGUGGCUCUGUGGGUUGGAUAACAUUGCUGCCAUUCAUUCUGAGUGGUGUUGCAGCUUCAUUUACAUGGGUUUGACGGUAUCUCAGAUAUCCCAGCGCUUUGCUAUAGGCAGUUCUCCGUUAUCCGAAGGUAAAUUUAGGUAAAAAUCACGUCAGCCAAGAUGCUGGGUUUGGAAGAUACUGAGUUUGGAAGAUGCCUGCUUCAUUCUGUGGUGUGAAUACCACUCUUGGGUACCUUUGAUGUACCAGUCUUAUUCCUCCCAAAGGAAAUGUGUGCCCUGAGCUUUCCCACUGCUGUGGUAGUGCCUUAUGUGUGCAACCUCCAGAUAAUGUUCACACCUCUGUGGAAUGCGAAGGGAUGGCUACUCCAGUCUUCCCUGAAUUUACUGCUCUGCAGUCAGUGACACAGCAGGAAAAGCAAAGCAUUAUUUUGUUCAUGUCCACCAUUGACAAAUGGCAUUUGGUUUUUGUCAUCAUUUUAUUUCUAGCUAGGUGUGUGCCAACACACAGGUCUUCCAUCCUUUUUAUUUGUUUGUUUGUUUAUCUACUAUCUCCUUGUCACCCACACAUAACUCUCAGUGUUUAGUGUGUCAGAAGCCCUAGGACAAUUUCCAUAUGUUAGCUGUGUGAAGAUGGUGAUUCUGCUGGCUUCAGAAUUGCAGCUACUGCAUUCCAUCAUUAUAAAGAAGAAAAAAGAAAGCUUGGAGGAAAGAGCCCUGCUUUCCUUCUUGAGUCUUGAGGCGGUGGCGGGAGGGAGAGGGGACAGAUUAAUAACACUUAAAAAGUUGACAAAAAGUGCUUUCCACGUGCUGAGAUUCAUAGUUUUAACCUUUGCAUUUUAAAAUUUCAAAGUAGCACUUUCCAUUUCCUAAACUGAGGAGAAACAGCAAUUUCCUCAAAUACUACAAAGACACAAGUGCCAUUUUGCAAAUGCCCUGUAAAUGGGGACCCACUGUAUUUCUGGGAACCAACCUGUCACAGCUAAAAUACAACAGUGUAAAAACCCAUCAUCAGGCUGAGAAACCCAGCCCUUCUUACAUGUUACGUCUACAGUGUUCUAUCUAAAAACUGUUAUCUCUUGGAAAACUAGCUGACACAUUUUAAUGAGGAGAAUCAAAGUGGGUCUGUAGCGUUCCCCUAAUUUUAAUACAUUCAUAAUUAUAGAUUAUAUUGGAAGCCAUCUGUAGAUAAAUGUAACUUCCUGAGAUGGCUUUAACUACUGACCCAUUUUUAUACAGCCCAUUUGUGACAUCAUCAGAUAUGUUCACAUUUCUGAGGCCAAAAUAUAAGGUGGCUUUUUGUUAUUUAUUUAGAAAAUUAAAAUCAUAGAAGGAGCCCUAAUUUUAAAUAUAGUGACUGCAUACAGGUGGUUAUACAAGUCAGUGUUCAGGCCGGGUUUGUGGUUUCUUAGCCCACCAGUUUUACCUACAGAGCAGCAGAGAGAAUGUGGAUUGCGUUAGCAAUCUUCAUAUCUCCCUCGAGGCAGACUCUCCUGGGCCAUGGUUAUAAGCUGGAACCUGGGCUGGAUGCAGCUGUGAGGGGAGUGAGGGAAUGGCAGAGCUCUCCGUUGCAGAAUCACUAAUGGGCAGAGAGGGUGUCCCUUGGCCUUCUAUCUCCCCAGUUCCCUACCAGUUGGGUCACACCUUUGAAUCUUCAGAGUAGCCAGAUACUCUGUGGUGCUGCAAAAUGUGUGUCAGAGAUGUUAAUCUCUGCUGGCUCUGACACUGAUGAGGCAGCUGUAGCUGCUGGCCCACUGUGCUGGUGGGUCUCCGCCAGCAGAGGGUGGCUUUAAGACCGUUUAUGUAUUGCUUUAAUGUUUAAACACUGUAUGGGCUGCAUAUUGAACAUGAUGACCUUACUGCUUCCUACAUUUCCUAACGCUUCAUCUUUAGUUAGUAAUUGUAAGAAGUAUCUAGAAAAGAUUUUUCUCACUGUUUUCUUUUUUUCUCUCUUCUCUCCAGCCUCAUUCUUCCAGGUAAGAAUAACCAAAAAUAACAAAAUUUAGAAAGACAGGUUUGAAACAAUUUUGGUGAUGAUUUGGAACUACUUUAGCCUAGGACCAAAGUACUUGAAAUAAAUAAUUGAAUAAGUUGUCAGUGUUAUAGCAUUUAUUAAGGAUUGAAACAUAAGCCACUAACAGUGAAUGAAAGUCAUCUCGCUGAACUUCAGACAUGCAGCAGGUGCCUGGUCUCAGUGUGGGCUUUCCUUGCACUCUGUGGAGAGAGGACUUCACACAUACCAAGGUUGAUUUCAACACCUCUUAUUCUAAUUCAAGAGUCUAAAGUUUACAGAACACAAGCUAGCAGGAGCCUGAUCCCAAACAGCAUUUGUGCCUGUAUAAUUAUUCUCAUGUGGAGUCCCACUAUGUGCAACAGUUAAUGACUAGAUAGUUAAUUAUGGGAGUAACUUAGGUAGGAAUGGGCUCAAUUCUUGUGCCUGUGUUGCAGAGAGGCAAAUUUGUCUCUUGAGAUGUCUGUUCCUUUCUGUUGACUACAGAGGGAGCAGAGGUUAUAGUAGCUCAGUGUUAGACAUGUGACCUACCCAUCUCACCCGCUGCGCCUGCAGGCUGCAGCUACUACCAUUGGGUAAUGCUCUGCCUCAUCUUUGAAGGUCUGUAGACACUUAAUAGAUUUUAUGGAUCUGAUUUCACAUCCAAGGGAAUAAAGUGUGACAGUUAAAGCCAUGUAAUUAGUAGAUAGUCAUUAACUUUUCUGAAAUCAGUGGAAUUCCCCAUGGGACCAAUUGCACAUGUAUAAGUAGUUCAGACUGUUGUUGACUGGAGAGCUGUUGGGAAACUGUACACAAUAAAAGGUAGUAGUAAGUAAUGAUGGAAAAUGCAUCAUGUUCUAAUAUAUAGUGAUUUAUAUUCUGAAUUUGAUGUUCUGUUGAGAGUCUUCCUACACAUUUUUAAGUAGUUUUAAAAUAUUUGAACAAAAAUUAAAAAAUUUCUGUCCUUCAUUUCCAUUUAUUUACCACUUGGAAACUAUUUUCAAAAUGGAAUUCCUAUCUAAAGUUCUUUAAUUAAAACCACCCAAACAUCUGAGUACCAGCAAUCUUUUGAACUAUUGCAGAAGUAGAGCACAGAUGAGGCCUUAGUAUUUCCUAGAGUAGGUAAAAUUCCUCUCUGUUUGCAGAAAUAGAGCAACCUAGUGACCAACUCAAGCAAAAGAUCAGAGGCAUCUUCCCAAUGGCUACAAACUGCAGAUAACCUCUUGUUUUCACUUCCACAAAACACUGGCAAUUCCAAACAUGAAUAAGAUUCACAUCACCCUCAUCUGCAGGGAUUAAGCUUAAUGAACCUGUUUCCAGAGCCACGUGCAAGAAGUGCAUUUGAUGUAUUUAAAGGCAGAGAAAUGCCUCAACAAUGAUUAAGGCAUUAGAGGAAAAGGUUCAGGAGGAUAAGAGAAGGUUAUUGCAAACACAAGGGAGUAUUCAUGACAUCAUCAUACUCUGUGGCUCUUCCAGAAGUUUCUAGUCUACACCAGACUGUACAGAGCUUUUUGCAGGAUUUAACGUGCCCUGUACUUGUGCUCUGCUUAAGGUUAAUAACAUGGAAAAUCUUGUGAUUCCUUGCUGUAAUGAUCUGUUUGUAUACAGAUAGGCUUUCAGCUUAUGGAAAUGACCCAUGAUUUAUGAAAUAGCCUCUUCCUGUUUGCAAUGAUGCAGUGCAAUAUUGAGUCAUCUCUAACCUUUUACCCUUCCCUGUGGAGGCUCUUUGUUGUUUGCGACCUGUCCUCUGGGAUUUGGAUUGAUGAUACCAGACAGCAGUUUUUACUUGAACUAGUCCCAGUUUUACCAGUUUUGGAUGAAUUACUGCGCUUUCCUAGGAAAAAGGUUUGAUCCACAUCACUGCUGAUUUGAAUUAUGAUAAAUUGCUAAAAAAUUACCUGUGUGUAGUUUGGGUUGAAAUUAUGAAUUCUUGAUUUUAGGGAUUAAUUACAUUUCCUAUAUGCACCUAACUCUCCUUCAAGAGAAUAAUGAGUCCAGGGGCCAAGAAGUUCUGGAUUCGGAGGGAAAGUACACAUUGCAGUACUCCACUAGAUUAUAUUUCCCUGCCUUUUGGAGAGAGCCCCUAAUGCCAGUGAAAUCUCAGCAAUACGACACCUGACCCUUCAAGGGAUGAAAUAGACUAAGUGAAAGCAUAAGAUCUUUCAUCAGGUUUGCACAGUUGGGUAUUUUAUCCUUUCUCUACAGCAUAUAGCAGGGGCUUAGGUAAAGCAGGCUGGAUGGUCCUUCUAAUUUACGGGGGCUUAGUUUGGUUUAACUUUGACUCUGAAAACAUAAUAUCUUGGCUGAAGACCUGCAUUUCUAGUGGCUAUGCAGUCUGCUGGGUGUCCUGCCAAACAGCUGAGGACUGCAGCGCUAUGUUGUUAAUUCCUUUCUACCAGUGAGACGUUCCUGUUCAUCUGUUGGACAGUGUCAUAAGUCACUUAUUGGUCUUGCCUAUUGCUAGACAUAGCUGAUACGGUGUGAACUCAGGCACAGCGUUUAUGUGAGUUGUAUAGCCAUUGUGCCUUCCUAGAACCAACUCACUUGAGCUAUUUACCCUAUAAAGAAAGAGGAAAGAAGAUUGAACAAGCCAAAUUACAUUGGUGGGAUAAAAGAGCCAGCAGUUUUCUAGAUUUGAAAUGCAAUGACUUUAGAUAUUGACAACUGACAGUUUCUUCAUCAAGGCACAGAAUUUUUCAAAGUCUCUGACAAGGAAAAUACAGAUCCAACAUGAUGAGUUUUCUUGUGAAACAUUUUAAUGGAUAUGCUCAGCUUUCCCAGUGGGAUCUUACUUUCUUAGAGAUUAGUCACCAGUUACUUGAUUUGUCUGAACUUUCUGCCAAAAUCAACAGGGAAGGAAUUGACAGGAUGGACGUUAGAAACAAGGAUGUUAUGACAUGUUUGAAGAGAACGCGUACUCAGAGGAGGGUCUACUUCUGUUUCAAAAAGCAGCUUCUUAUCAGCAAAACAAGCUUUACUCUUUCCUGUACGUGUCUUUGCCUUGCAGCAAUGCUGAGAUGAUGUUUCAUCUUGUGAGAAGCCAAAGGAAAGAGAUUUACUAAAGGCAGAACAACUUUGCACAUGCUAUUGCAACUCCAGUCAUUCUAUUGAGUUCAGCUAAGACAAGCACUAAAACCGGCUGGGACUGUUAGGAUUUGAAGUCUUUGCAGUUACUACAGGGUUUGUUCUUCUACUGAAUCAACACAUCCUGCAGCUUCUAUGACAAAGGAAAGAAGUACAUACUGGUACAACAGCACAGGAAAAUACUACCCUGCCGUGUGGUCAUGGGUGACAUGUCAGUCUCCCAAGGCAAAUCAAUAAUGCAAAACUUCAGUUGUUGAAAAAUGCUGGGUUUUAAUACACAAAAAUCAAACUUUGCAGCAGAGAUGUGAGGCAGUACACGGAGCAGUUGUAUCUUUCAGAAAUCUAACUGAACACAAGUAGCCAGGAGUCCAAGUACUAACUUAAAACAGCAAUGUUACCGCUUCUCUCUCCAUUCUUCUCCUCACUCCUCCCUGAAACACUACAACCAAAACUGACAGCACACCACAUCUUCCCAAGCCUCAAUAUUCACUCACACGUAGAGGAGAACAUGGGAGGUUUUUUUAAAAUCCCCCUGACAACUGGUACAAGAAAACUGUUUAACUAUUAGUGGAAUGUCCUCUCAUAAAAUGCCAAACAGUCUUGUGGUUUUUAGGUCAAAAGCUAACAAGAUGAACUAUGGGCUCUUAUUACUUCUUCUAUUUAUCCACAGUAAAAAUCUGGAGUGCUUUAAAAAUGUUGAGAAUAUGACAGUGAUUGACAACAAAAGAAGGGAUGUAAG